AGGCGUGUCUUUCGCCGGAAGCGGAAGUGGAAAUGUUUGGUGACUGCAUUACCAUGUGGCGGGAGUCGAACAGAGCUUAGCAGAGCAGAGGAUCAUUUUUGAAUUACCGACUGAAUACUUUGAGAAAGCUGUGUGUUUUUAAAAGCAACUUUACGUGGAAAGACGGCAAAAGCAGUGAUGGAGGCCUUUCCUGCAUUAUCAGGUAUGUCCUUUGGGACAUCCAAAAAGCAGAUGGCUUGUGAGAGGAGAAAGUUUGCACUUUCAAUACUCAAUGGUUCAGGAGAACAGGGAAGAGGAUUCGAAUACAGACUGCACCAGGCAUCCAAGAACAGUUUAUAGUGUUUGACAUCGAGAACAACUGUGCAAUGUGCUCUGCCUCAAAGCCCCCAGGAUCUGGGCCUCCCACUACAAAUUGGAUCAGGCGAAAAAGCCGCAGGGUCAUGCUUUGAUUUCUACUUUUCGGCAUAUUGUUUCGGCAACCUCGUGCGUCGCCCCAGCGGCAGCCCACACACAUUAACUCUAUUCAAAAUGACUGUGGAACGGAUAAAAAAUGUAUUUACUAACAAAACAGUCAAGACAACUUCCCUCAGAUAUAUGGUAAUGUAUAUACAUUGUUUUCACAUAUAAUGAACAGAGAGAAUAUAAAAUGUAAUAAGUAGUGGAAUAUGGAUACUGACAAUUCUAAUCAUGUCUAAUAGCAACAUAUUAAAGUGUAACUUCACCCCAGGUUUGAGCCUGAGUCUACCCACAUGAUGAUAAUAUAGUU